UGAAAAUGAGCUGCAAGCCCGAGGUUGUGAUCUAUGUAAAUUAAAUGUAACCCUUCAGUAUCAGAAGAUAACUCCACUUGGGCCACUUAAGGACAAAAAACAAGGACAAAAAUGUGCCAAGGGUCCAUGCUGUAACACCAGAUUAAGGUGGCAUCCUCUCUGUACUGGGACUACAAGAGGAUCUCCUAGUCUGAUAAUUUUUGGUGAAAGCUACAGAGGUCUUCCUAUUUAGCAACCCUCAAAAGGCUGAGAGCCUGCCAUGCUGAAACAGCAUUUGCAGAUGUGAGGCCAACAGAAUGCUGCAGUGGCAGAAAGGCUUUGUCAACACCAGCAAAUCACUGUUUCUACCUCUGCAAGGUCAGCUUCAGAAGGGAACGUGUCUGAGACCACAGCUCUAAGACCGAAUACAGGAGGAAGUUACAACAGCCAAGUCUGGAGUUUGCAGCAUGGAUGGCAAGCGUCUCUGAUAACUGUGGAACUCAUUAAUUUACAACCAGGAGCACUUAUGCUGAAGACCAGUAUUAGCAUUUUAGUCCAGUGUG
rnacentral:lncRNA from 1 species